GAGGCUGUUAUAGCAGCAAAGGGGGGGGGUCCAACUCCAUAUUAAUGACUUCCCUGAAGAGUGGAGACUGUUAUAGCAGCAAAGGGGGGACCAACUCCAUAUUAAUGACUUCCCAGAAGAGUGGAGGCUGUUAUAGCAGCAAAGGGGGGACCAACUCCAUAUUAAUGACUUCCCAGAAGAGUGGAGGUCUGUUAUAGCAGCAAAGGGGGGGACCAACUCCAUAUUGAUUUUGUAAUGUAGUGUUUAAUUCCAGCAUCCUCAAAAUGUCUUGACAUUAUUAACCAGGUUUCCAUCCAACCUUUUUAUGCAAGAAAAGUUGCCUACUUUUCUGAUAAUUGUUGUUUUUUUUAAAAUCCCAUCACAUCAUAGGAAAGCAUGCGGUUUAUUAGGCUACAAAUUAAAUAAACGAUGAUGAAUUUAACAGAAUGGUAAAAAUGCACAGAGAUGAGGUUUAUGCUCCUUUCAAUAAAUAUCAAGGGUCUUAUUCUAGUGACAUGAUUAUCGAUGCUUAGCCGCCAUUAGACAAAUAAAAAUGAAUCUUGCACUUUUGUCCUGUUAGGGUUGAACUGGCUAUUUGUUUGCAUAACCUAUAUAAUAUACCAGAGAAGCUAUGCUACAAUAUUAAGUAUAUAAACUACGGAUAAGUCAACUGCUGAAGACAAGAACUACACCCGGCGACAGGAAGUGCGUCACGAGGCUGGGACCAGCCUGCACGCCGACGAUAGGAUGAGUAAGUUUAAAC
rnacentral:lncRNA from 1 species